UAUACAUGCAGUCGAGCGGACCGACGGGAGCUUGCUCCCUUAGGUCAGCGGCGGACGGGUGAGUAACACGUGGGUAACCUGCCUGUAAGACUGGGAUAACUCCGGGAAACCGGGGCUAAUACCGGAUGCUUGAUUGAACCGCAUGGUUCAAUCAUAAAAGGCGGCUUCGGCUGCCGUUUACAGAUGGACCCGCGGCGCAUUAGCUAGUUGGUGAGGUAACGGCUCACCAAGGCGACGAUGCGUAGCCGACCUGAGAGGGUGAUCGGCCACACUGGGACUGAGACACGGCCCAGACUCCUACGGGAGGCAGCAGUAGGGAAUCUUCCGCAAUGGACGAAAGUCUGACGGAGCAACGCCGCGUGAGUGAUGAAGGUUUUCGGAUCGUAAAGCUCUGUUGUUAGGGAAGAACAAGUACCGUUCGAAUAGGGCGGUACCUUGACGGUACCUAACCAGAAAGCCACGGCUAACUACGUGCCAGCAGCCGCGGUAAUACGUAGGUGGCAAGCGUUGUCCGGAAUUAUUGGGCGUAGAGCGCGCGCAGGCGGUUUCUUAAGUCUGAUGUGAAAGCCCCCGGCUCAACCGGGGAGGGUCAUUGGAAACUGGGGAACUU
rnacentral:rRNA from 1 species